GUCUUCAGCCAUACCACCUUGAACAUGCCUGAUCUCAUCUGAUCUCAGAAGCUAACAAACAAAGAAGUCACACCUAGAAACAUCUUAGUCUACUCAAUUUAAAAGACAGUAAGUGAGUUGGUGGUG
rnacentral:rRNA from 1 species